rnacentral:rRNA from 1 species
AACGAACGCUGGCGGCAUGCCUAACACAUGCAAGUCGAACGAGAUCUUCGGAUCUAGUGGCGCACGGGUGCGUAACGCGUGGGAAUCUGCCCCUUGCUUCGGAAUAACAGUGAGAAAUUACUGCUAAUACCGGAUGAUGUCUCCGGACCAAAGAUUUAUCGGCAAGGGAUGAGCCCGCGUAGGAUUAGGUAGUUGGUGGGGUAAUGGCCUACCAAGCCGACGAUCCUUAGCUGGUCUGAGAGGAUGAUCAGCCACACUGGGACUGAGACACGGCCCAGACUCCUAGGGGGGGCAGCAGAGGGGAAAAUUGGGCAGGGGGCGAAAGCCUGAACCACCAAUGCCGGGUGAGUGAUGAAGGCUUUGGGGUUGUAAAGCUCUUUUACCGGGGAGGAAAAUAACGGUACCGGGAAAAAAAGCUCCGCCUAACCCCGG